rnacentral:rRNA from 1 species
AGAGUUUGAUCCUGGCUCAGAACGAACGCUGGCGGCGUGGAUAAGACAUGCAAGUCGAACGAGAGAAUUGCUAGCUUGCUAAUAAUUCUCUAGUGGCGCACGGGUGAGUAACACGUGAGUAACCUGCCCCCCGAGAGCGGGAUAGCCCUGGGAAACUGGGAUUAAUACCGCAUAGUAUCGAAAGAUUAAAGCAGCAAUGCGCUUGGGGAUGGGCUCGCGGCCUAUUAGUUAGUUGGUGAGGUAACGGCUCACCAAGGCGAUGACGGGUAGCCGGUCUGAGAGGAUGUCCGGCCACACUGGAACUGAGACACGGUCCAGACACCUACGGGUGGCAGCAGUCGAGAAUCAUUCACAAUGGGGGAAACCCUGAUGGUGCGACGCCGCGUGGGGGAAUGAAGGUCUUCGGAUUGUAAACCCCUGUCAUGUGGGAGCAAAUUAAAAAGAUAGUACCACAAGAGGAAGAGACGGCUAACUCUGUGCCAGCAGCCGCGGUAAUACAGAGGUCUCAAGCGUUGUUCGGAAUCACUGGGCGUAAAGCGUGCGUAGGCUGUUUCGUAAGUCGUGUGUGAAAGGCGCGGGCUCAACCCGCGGACGGCACAUGAUACUGCGAGACUAGAGUAAUGGAGGGGGAACCGGAAUUCUCGGUGUAGCAGUGAAAUGCGUAGAUAUCGAGAGGAACACUCGUGGCGAAGGCGGGUUCCUGGACAUUAACUGACGCUGAGGCACGAAGGCCAGGGGAGCGAAAGGGAUUAGAUACCCCUGUAGUCCUGGCAGUAAACGGUGCACGCUUGGUGUGCGGGGAAUCGACCCCCUGCGUGCCGGAGCUAACGCGUUAAGCGUGCCGCCUGGGGAGUACGGUCGCAAGAUUAAAACUCAAAGAAAUUGACGGGGACCCGCACAAGCGGUGGAGUAUGUGGCUUAAUUCGAUGCAACGCGAAGAACCUUACCUGGGCUUGACAUGUAAUGAACAACAUGUGAAAGCAUGCGACUCUUCGGAGGCGUUACACAGGUGCUGCAUGGCCGUCGUCAGCUCGUGUCGUGAGAUGUUUGGUUAAGUCCAGCAACGAGCGCAACCCCUGUUGCCAGUUACCAGCACGUGAAGGUGGGGACUCUGGCGAGACUGCCCAGAUCAACUGGGAGGAAGGUGGGGACGACGUCAGGUCAGUAUGGCCCUUAUGCCCAGGGCUGCACACGUACUACAAUGCCCAGUACAGAGGGGGCCGAAGCCGCGAGGCGGAGGAAAUCCUAAAAACUGGGCCCAGUUCGGACUGUAGGCUGCAACCCGCCUACACGAAGCCGGAAUCGCUAGUAAUGGCGCAUCAGCUACGGCGCCGUGAAUACGUUCCCGGGUCUUGCACACACCGCCCGUCA